UGCGCGGGGGCGGCGGGGCGGCCGCGGUGAGCUCACAGAGCCGGGGCCUCCGGGGCCGGGUCGGGGAGGUGGGCGCGCCCGCGGGACCCGGAGGCCUGAGUGCGCCUCCCCGCGCGUCCGGUCUCAGCACGUGCUCCUUCAUUGACGAGCGCGCCGGAGAUGCUGGCCGAGCCGUCUGCUGCGGGGGGGCGGGCGUGGCGGCGCUGCUGGGAUUCUGGGGCCCUGCGGCGUGUGCGCGAGUGGAUGGGCCUCGGGGCAAAGUCUCGUCCCGGGAGCCCUCAGCACUGCCGCAGCCCGGGAGCCAGGCGGCGCCCUCCCCCACUUUACUGACAAGGAAACAGGCGGGACAGCAAGUGAUAGAAGGAGUUUCGACUGGGUUUAAACACUCAGGAACACAUAGCAGCGCGCUUGCUUUCUUUUUAGCUUGUAGAGCAAUGGGUAUUGGGAGUCACAUAGAGUCGCCAGAGCUAGCAGUGUCCUGCCGCUGGAGGAGCCAGCUUGCGUUGUCCAGCUGGUUCUUCAGCUGCCUAAGAGUUUUCUUUAUUGUGAGCCUUUUCUGUGACCCAGCCCCACAAUAAAAGCAGAAGAGUGUGACGUCUGUUGAGGUAAACAGUAUAUAAAAUUAAAGAAUUGUUUCGAGUGAUAAAAUCCCUGUAAAUUUGAGGGAGUUAGGUCAGUAUUCAGUAAUACUCCUACCCAAAUAAUGAGUCCUUAUCCCACGUAACAGUGACUAUUAAUCACUCUCGUCUAGAUCUGUGCUGAUAUGGGGCCAGAAGUAUAUCCUGGAGUGCUCAGAAUGAGUCAGGUUUCUGGUGCCUGAAAGCUGCUGUUCUGCACCACCCACACCAGCUGGGCAAGGGCUGCUUCCCAGCACUUUCUCCGUUGUGUCCACUAAGUACACUCUUUCUUUGUUUACACAGCCUGGCACUGGAUGCCUAGCAAACAUUGGUCCAGUUAGCGAAUAAGCACUGUGAGGAACGCUGAUGUGAGGCUGACUUCCAAGCUGUAGGCGACAGUGCAGAGCUGGUGUUCUAAACUGAUACCCACAUUUCUUUGGGGCAUUAGUUUUUGGAGAGGAUAAGGAGAAAAUUCUUCCUUUUAGGAUGUUGGAGAAGGAAAACCCAUCUUAAUUGGAUGAUCGAUUGGAAGCUCCUGCUUGGGAUCAGUUAGCAGCUUUGUCUUAGAGGAAUUGACUAGCUCGACAGGCCUUUUUACUUAGCUGUGAAGAGAAUCAAGUGGUGGCUGUAAGAUUACUGGGCCAGGUUUUCCUCUCUUAAAACCCUACUUUUGUUUUCUUGCUGAAGGAUUAUCUGGUGUUAAAGGGAUUUUGAACUAUAAAAGCAUUAUGCUUUAGCCAUCAUUAAUCUGAGGUCUUUUAAGCUGCAGGAUGUAUAUUUGUAAAGAAUUUAAUCUAGGUCUAUUUUGCAGCUUCACUCCAAACCUGGCAGGUCCCCCAUAGCUUUUCUGGGAUACAGGAAUAAGCUGUUGGAAGGGGGGUCACGAGCAUGGAUCCCUCCAGGUGAGCGUCGAUGUGGCCUCUGCUGUUUCUGUGGUCCACUUGAGCUGUGUGUAUUUUCUUAUCACGUGCCCCUUAGUUUCUGUUUUGUACUUGGAAUGUCUUCAUUGAAAUGUAUCCAAGGGGUACUGAAAAAGGAAGCCAUCACUGGGAGGCAUCCCCAUGUAGUGAGGUCAUCCCCAAGACGUCUGAGCUACUGGUAUUCCCAUCCCCCUCCUGUAAUUAGGGUUGAAGUGAUACCUGCACUUGAUAGUGAGCCUGUGAGGGCCGCCUUGAGCCAUUGUUGGAGCUUCUGUUUUUAUGGAAAUGUCUAUUUAACUCUCAGUCCGGUUUAUUCGAGACCCAGCUUGUGUGAUUUGCUUGACGCUUGUGUGAUUUGCUUGACUGCUGCAAGGCUGUGCGACCCUAGUGCCACCCCAUAGCUUUUGUGGUGGAGACGCUUGCCACCUCUUCCCAGGAAACUUGGCCAUUGUGUACGAUAAUCUCUCUGCUACAACAUUCUUGGGCACCACUUUCCUUCCCUUCUUUUCAAAGUAAAGUAAAAUAAAAUUCAGAAAAGUACACAAUAUAAUAACAUAUUUCCACCACCCCAAAUUAACAUUUGGCAGUUUCAAAUAAAUAUUGCUUACCUCCUGUGCUGCAGUGGUUCUCUUUCCUCAUGGAGACUGCAGACACAAUUUGAGCCUUACCUACUCCAAAGGUGUCUUUGGAGUUCCAGUGACACUCAGUGCCUCUGUGGCAUCACUCAUGCAGAACAUGGAAACUGCCUCUGCACAGCUCUAGCCUUCCCAGAAAGCGGGGAGCUUCUCCAGGCCCAGGACUUGCUCUUGCUUGUCUUUCCAUCCACAGGGUCUGGUGCAGGCCCACCCGUGGUAGGUGCUUAGGGAACGUGCAAGUUAGAGUGAAGCAAGCGGUGGAGGCCAGGGAGAGGCGUGUAUCCAGGGAUGUGGAAUGUGAGAGGAGAGGGUGCUGGGGAGCCUACCCCACAUCUGGUCUGACAAUUUGAGGGUUUGAAAGAAAAGCUGUGUUGCAAGAAAUGCUAACUGCUGGACAGGCAUCCCUGGCCCCUUCCUUCAAGCUGAUGUGACUGAACCCAUGUGGAAGGCUGGCCCACUGCGCACUCGGCUUGGGUGGCGGCUUGGGUGGUGGCGAGCAGCCUGCCUGCGGUCUCCGUCCCAGUGAGCAGGCACACUGGUGGCCCUCGGAGCAGACGAGCACUUUCUGCUGUCCUGCUUUACAGCCAGAGAGCAGAAAACUCUGUUCCCUUUAAAUUACAACGAAUGAUCAGCUCCCUUUCUAGCUCUGUUGAGGAAACAGCAUGUUAAACAUCCUAUUCUUCUAGUGUCUGCAUCGCUUUUGUGUGGCAAGCUCCGCAGUUUCACUUUCUAAAUGUCUGGGGUCACAGGCAGUCCUCUUGCUUAGGACUGGUGAAAGAGCAGGGGCCACUCAGCAGUUUAAAACUCUGCUUUAAAAUACGUUUGAAAAUCUAGGUGUCCUGGGACUUUCCUGGUGGUCCAGUGGUUAGGCCUCCACGCUUUCACUGCAGGCAGCACAGGUUCCAUCCCUGGUGGAAGAGCUAAGAUCCUGCAGUGUGGCCAUAGGUUUCCUGUAAAGAUGCAUAUGAAUUCAGUGUUAUGCUGCCCUGCUGAAGGAGACCGAUGCUCUUGGGGUGUCAGGGAAGAGCUUUAUGGAAUUUUCUUAAUUCUUCAGUUAUUGCAAUAAAAAGUGACUCAAGGUCCUGCUCAUCCACUUCUGAAAUACCCAGCCUCCAAGUGCAUGGCAGAUUCCCAAAGAUCGAGACCACAGUAGAUUCGGCUGGUGGUGACUGAGUGUGGGAAUAGCACUGAUCUCUGUGGGUGUUUAAUUAAAAUCCACACUUGAAGGAUGCCAGUGUGUGCUGGGGUGACACUCUGCACAUGUGUUGAUCUAAAGUGAACAGUGGUCCAGCUGGUGUGUUCUGAUCUGUCUGAUGUUUAACUUGUCAUUGGUGGUACCAGACCUUGGGACUGGAAAUCAUCAGCCUGGUGUAGAUUCCCAGGACUCACGUGGGUUAGUGGGGGUGGUGCUCCCCAUGGUCUGAGCUGACACUUUCCAUUAGAAAUGUGAGCCACAUAAGGAAUUUUAAAUUUUCUAGUAGCCACACUUUAAAAAGUAAAAAGAUUCAGGAAAAAUUAAGUUUAAUAGAUAUUAUUCAACUUAAUAUGUACAAAACAUUAUUUCAACAUGUGAUCAAUGUAAAAGAUACAAUUAAAGAGAUAUUUUUGCCUUUU